CUUGUGUGCUUUUGCAAAGCUAGACAAGUUUAUGGGAUUUCAUGUCUGGGGAAACUUAUUGAGAAGUGCAUAGAAAACUGGUAAUCACAGACCGAACCUGUGAUGAAGCACCCGAGGCAAUUGUCCGGUCAGCUGUGUGGGAACGUGGGUGGAGGCAAUUCAGCUCGACUCCACCUGUCCUAGAUUUCAUUUAAGGGCUGACCACCACUAAGGCAGCAUCUCUUUUGGAGAUGGCUCCUUCGUGGUGUUUGUGUGACGAGCUUCAACAUUUUCCAUCUAGACCGAAGGCCUCUGAAUUGAGCAUGCAGUGCCAAAGAGCCAAUCACUUCAGGGAUCAUCCCUCUUCCUCUUCACAUUCCCCAAGAUGAAAACCUUCAGCAGCAAACGAGCGAAGCCAACGCACAGAAAGAGACUGCACAUCCACAUCUUUAUGAGGAUACAGAACCCAGCUUCUCCUCUCUCCAGCUCAUUCCUGCAGGACCAAGACCACCACCACCAAGGAGCCAUCACCACCCAGGAGCCACUCCAAGUCCCACAGAAGACCCCUUCA